rnacentral:lncRNA from 1 species
GGACUACUGGCAUUCAGUGAUGUGGUCAUAGAAUUCUCUCCAGAGGAGUGGGCAUGCCUGGACCCUGCCCAGCGAAAUUUGUAUAGGGAUGUGAUGUUCGAGAACUACAGAAACCUGGUCUCCCUGGGUCUUGCUGUGUCUAAUCCAGACCUGAUCACCUUUCCAGAGCAAAGAAAACAGCCUGGAAGUUUAAAGAGACAGGUGAUAGUAGCCAAAUUU